CAUUAAUCAUUGGUACCAUCUGUUCAGGCUGAAGGGAGAAGGAGCAGGGAACACAACAACCUAAACUAACUCUUCACUGGUAAGAUGAGUGAUGUGAACUAUACAGGAAGAAAGAGAAGGUGCUCCCUACCAGACAGAAGGGGGCAUUUUCCAGGAAUGUCUAAGGAGAAGAGAGUCUAGGACCUCCACAGAUGUUUUCCAGGCAAGUGACACAUAUCCUGAAUUAUGAAGCAGAGAGGGAAGACUGAAAAAGAAAGACAUCCAGGAUUUUUGGGAGGAAGGACUACAAAGGCACAGAAACGAGAGCUGGAAUGUCUCCUUAAUAGCCACGAAUCGAAGAAGUUCCACCUUGGCUACAGAUUGAAGUCAUUGCUCAGUUGUAACAAGGGUCAUCCUCAAAUGGGAAAGACUGAAGUUGCAAUCUGCAGAAGGCAGCUGUGAAUAGAUAGAAUCCAAACCAUUUAUUUUCCUUAGUUUUUGUACAUGCAAUAGUAAUAAAUUUCAAUUUGAUUUAAGCA
rnacentral:lncRNA from 1 species